rnacentral:rRNA from 1 species
UACGGAGGGAGCUAGCGUUGUUCGGAUAUACUGGGCGUAAAGCGUGCGCAGGCGGUUUUGUAAGUCUGUCGUGAAAGCCCCGGGCUCAACCUGGGAAUUGCGAUGGAGACUGCAAGGCUUGAAUCUGGCAGAGGGGGGUAGAAUUCCACGUGUAGCAGUGAAAUGCGUAGAGAUGUGGAGGAACACCGAUGGCGAAGGCAGCCCCCUGGGUCAAGAUUGACGCUCAUGCACGAAAGCGUGGGGAGCAAACAGG